rnacentral:rRNA from 1 species
UACGUACCGUCCAAACGUUAUUCGGAUUCACUGGGCUUAAAGGGUGCGUAGGCGGCUCAGAAAGUAGGGUGUGAAAGCCCUCGGCUUAACCGAGGAAUUGCGCCCUAAACUACUGGGCUUGAGGAACGCAGAGGUAAGCGGAACUUACGGUGGAGCGGUGAAAUGCGUUGAUAUCGUAAGGAACACCAGGAGCGAAAGCGGCUUACUGGGCGUUUUCUGACGCUGAUGCACGAAAGCUAGGGGAGCGAACGGG